rnacentral:rRNA from 1 species
GACAGAGGGUGCAACCGUUGCUCGGAAUCACUGGGCGUAAAGGGCGCGUAGGCGGACAAGUAAGUCGGGCGUGAAAUCCCUAGGCUCGACCUAGGAACUGCACUCGAAACUGCAUGUCUUGAGUACCGGAGAGGAAAGCGGAAUACCUGGUGUAGAGGUGAAAUUCGUAGAUAUCAGGUGGAACACCAGUGGCGAAGGCGGCUUUCUGGACGGUAACUGACGCUGAGGCGCGAAAGCGUGGGGAGCAAACAGG